CUAAGAAUCUUCCGCAAUGGGGGAAACCCUGACGGAGCGACGCCGCGUGGAUGAUGAAGGCCGUAAGGUUGUAAAAUCCUUUUGUUGGUGAAGAAUAAGCGGGGGAGUGGAAAGCCCUCGUGAUGACGUUAGCCGACGAAUAAGCCCCGGCUAAUUACGUGCCAGCAGUCGCGGUAAUACGUAUGGGGCAAGCGUUGUUCGGAGUUAUUGGGCGUAACGGGCGUGUAGGCGGCUCCUCAAGUCUGGUGUGAAAUCGACAGGAUUAACCUGUCAUAUGCGCGGGAAACUGGUGGGCUUGAGUUCUUGCAGGGAAGCUGGAAUUCCAGGUGUAGGGGUGAAAUCUGUAGAUCUCUGGAAUUACACCGGUGUCGAAGGCGAGCUUCUAUCAGAGGACUGACGCUGAGGCGCGAAAGCGUGGGGAGCAAACAGG
rnacentral:rRNA from 1 species